GCUCUAAUGCUUUCUACAUUAUUUAACCAAUGAGACAGGCAAGGGAUUACUAUAGAUAUCCUGUGGGAGGAAUAGCCAUCAUAGUCUUUGCUGCAUUUAAUAAGUGCAGUAGUAGCGAUAGUUUAUUUUGCCGGUGGAGGUAGAGACAUGGUGAAGCAAAUAGAGCUUUGGAGUGAAUGACACCGGAGUUCCCAUAAUUGAGGUUAUAAGGACUGAUAUUUUGGACCAAUUGGACUGUAUUCA